GAUGAACGCUGGCGGCGUGCUUAACACAUGCAAGUCGAACGGGAAAUAUUUCAUUGAGACUUCGGUGGAUUUGAUUUAUUUCUAGUGGCGGACGGGUGAGUAACGCGUGGGUAACCUGCCUUAUACAGGGGGAUAACAGUCAGAAAUGGCUGCUAAUACCGCAUAAGCGCACAGAGCUGCAUGGCUCAGUGUGAAAAACUCCGGUGGUAUAAGAUGGACCCGCGUUGGAUUAGCUAGUUGGUGGGGUAACGGCCCACCAAGGCGUCGAUCCAUAGCCGGCCUGAGAGGGUGAACGGCCACAUUGGGACUGAGACACGGCCCAGACUCCUACGGGAGGCAGCAGUGGGGAAUAUUGCACAAUGGGGGAAACCCUGAUGCAGCGACGCCGCGUGAAGGAAGAAGUAUCUCGGUAUGUAAACUUCUAUCAGCAGGGAAGAUAGUGACGGUACCUGACUAAGAAGCCCCGGCUAACUACGUG
rnacentral:rRNA from 1 species